UCCUGUCUCCCCUGAAGACAACCUCUGACCCAUCCUGACCUCUGAACCUGACUACUUUGUCCCUGCAGUCCAAGGUAGCACCAUGGGUAGAUAACCAGUCCAUCCCUAGAAUGACGUCAAAAUCUGUCAAGUCUAGAACCACAAGGUCGGCAGAAAGGCAUCUUCCCUCAACAAAGACUGGACUGCACUGGCAGACUGACUCUGCCACAGAUGGAUCACACUUGGGUCCACUGACCCAGAGAGGACACUCUAACCCAGAGAUCAUCAGACCCAACCUCUCG
rnacentral:lncRNA from 1 species